GGUGUGGCUCAGUUUGGUAGAGCGCUUGACUGGGGGUCAAGAGGUCGUGGGUUCAAGUCCCGUCA
rnacentral:tRNA from 1 species